rnacentral:rRNA from 1 species
UACAGAGGGGGCAAGCGUUGUUCGGAAUUACUGGGCGUAAAGGGCUCGUAGGCGGCCAACUAAGUCCGACGUGAAAUCCCCAAGCUUAACUUGGGAACUGCGUCGGAUACUGGAUGGCUUGAAUUCGGGAGAGGGAUGCAGAAUUCCAGGUGUAGCGGUGAAAUGCGUAGAUAUCUGGAGGAAUACCGGUGGCGAAGGCGGCAUCCUGGACCGACAUUGACGCUGAGGAGCGAAAGCAUGGGGAGCGAACAGG